rnacentral:rRNA from 1 species
UACGUAGGGGGCAAGCGUUGUCCGGAUUCAUUGGGCGUAAAGAGCGUGUAGGCGGUCAGGUAGGUCGGUUGUGAAAACUGGAGGCUCAACCUUCAGAGGUCGACCGAAACCCCCUGGCUAGAGUCCGGGAGAGGAGAGUGGAAUUCCUGGUGUAGCGGUGAAAUGCGCAGAUAUCAGGAAGAACACCCGUGGCGAAAGCGGCUCUCUGGAACGGUACUGACGCUGAGACGCGAAAGCGUGGGGAGCGAACAGG